rnacentral:rRNA from 1 species
GGCGCACGGGUGCGUAACGCGUGGGAAUCUACCCCUUGGUUCGGAAUAACAGUUGGAAACGACUGCUAAUACCGGAUGAUGACGUAAGUCCAAAGAUUUAUCGCCGAGGGAUGAGCCCGCGUAGGAUUAGGUAGUUGGUGUGGUAAAGGCGCACCAAGCCGACGAUCCUUAGCUGGUCUGAGAGGAUGAUCAGCCACACUGGGACUGAGACACGGCCCAGACUCCUACGGGAGGCAGCAGUGGGGAAUAUUGGACAAUGGGCGCAAGCCUGAUCCAGCAAUGCCGCGUGAGUGAUGAAGGCCUUAGGGUUGUAAAGCUCUUUUACCC